UACGUAGGGGGCUAGCGUUGUCCGGAAUCAUUGGGCGUAAAGAGCGCGUAGGCGGCCAGAUAAGUCCGGUGUGAAAGUCAAAGGCUCAACCUUUGAAUGCCGCUGGAAACUGUCUGGCUAGAGUCCGGGAGGGGCGAGUGGAAUUCCUGGUGUAGCGGUGAAAUGCGCAGAUAUCGGGAGGAACACCUAUGGCGAAGGCAGCUCGCUGGGACGGUACUGACGCUGAGACGCGAAAGCGUGGGGAGCAAACAGG
rnacentral:rRNA from 1 species